GACGAACGCUGGCGGCGUGCUUAACACAUGCAAGUCGAGCGGUAAGGCCCUUUCGGGGGUACACGAGCGGCGAACGGGUGAGUAACACGUGGGUGACCUGCCCUCAGCUCUGGGAUAAGCCUGGGAAACCGUGGUACUAAUACGUGGAUAUCGACCUCACGGUGCAUGUUCGUGGGGGUGGAAAGCCUUGUGCGGCUGAGGAUGGGCCCGCGGCCUAUCAGCUUGUUGGUGGGGUGANGGCCUACCAAGGCGACGACGGGUAGCCGGCCUGAGAGGGCGACCGGCCACACUGGGACUGAGACA
rnacentral:rRNA from 1 species